GGAAGUUGGUUGUUGUUGGUAUUGGAGUUACUGGUUUUGGAGUAACUGUAGGUGUCAUCUCUCUGGGAUUGGCACUUCUCUGUUCCCAAAGAAGAACUGAAAACGUUUCAUACAACAGGACACAAGCCAAAGCCACUGAUAUCUAUGUGCCCAUGAGAAAUAUUGACCAUAAUGAGAGAGAGUUACCUGCAGGUAACGCUGAAGCCAACAUUAUGAUCAACUCUCAACCUGGUGAUGACUGUCCUACUGUUUCUGAAAUACCAAAAGAGUUGGAGCUUGAAAAUGAGGAUGACACAGACCAUACGUACGCC